UCCCCUCCCCGCUGCUCGCUUGCGGUUGCGGCUCCUCUCAGCUCGCAGCCGCUUGCAUCCACGCAUUCCACCGCUCCACCGACCGCUCGCAUUCCGCCAGAAGCCGCUCAGCUCCGCCGGCCGCCGCUCGCGUUCCCGCUGCAUCCCUCUGUGGCCGUUAUUCAUCCAUCUCCACCUAUUUCAUCCCUAUGUGGCUCUAUUUCUGUUUUUUUUACUGGUCUAGAUUCUGUUUUUGUUUUCAGCCAGUGAUCUAUUGUGCAUCUAUUUCUGUUUUGCAUUUACAAUUGACAAGUGGAUUGCUGUGGUUAGUAAUACAUGUACUCCGUACAUGUCAGCCCUUUGGUGUUACUAUUACUCCCUCCGAUCUUAAAUUCUCGUCGUGAUUUUAGUUCAAAUUUGUACAUAUGCAUUUCCUAGAUAAUUCAUAAUUAUAUUCUGUGUUAUAGGAAUUGCAAGAGAGCUUGCUGUUUUUAACUUUCAUCGACUGAUUUGGUAUAGACUAGUGAAUUGUUGAUUAAAAAGCUCCGUUUACUGCAGUGAUCUUUUUUUUUUCUGCUUAAGGCGAUCAAAUAUGGAGACUUUGAGAUACCAUAGUCCACACUAUUGCACCAUCCUCAUUGUGUAAAUUUCCAAGCGAGUUUAAUAAUCAUGGUUCUGAUUCUUUCCUAGUCUUGUCUUUGGUACAUAUCAAAAUGAACGAGGUACAAUGUUCAGCGGAAGUCAUAUCAUAUAUAUAUCUCAAAAGUGUUGAUCCAAGGUCGAUGUUGUGUACCAAAAGAAUCGUAAGAAAUUUAAAGGUGUGUUUUGUCAGAAAUAUUUUGAGCCUUUCCAUUUUGAUCUUAUCUUUUGCACACCCAUUUGAUGCUGCUUGCAAUCUGAAGUACAAAAUACCGUAAAGAGAUUGCUGACUUCGGAAAGAAUUGAUUAUUAAGAGAUCUAGUGUAGUUGUAGUAUGUCAUACCUUUCAAAAAAUGUAUUGAGGCUUAGGCUACAGCACCUGUCCACUUUGACCUGGACAGGGCCUCUAAUUAACUCAUGUCCUAUUUGACCUUGCACUUAUCUUUGUCCCUUGGUUUCAUGUCUGUGUCUUAGACUUCAGUAUCCAUGUAUGACACUCUUUCUUAUCACAAUGACCAUGGUGGUAGUGCACAUGGUUUUGAGUCGGCGACUGGUCUCCAAGUCUGGACAGCGGGUGAGACGCUAGUCGGCGACUGGAACCCGUGAGCCGCCCGACUUGGUCCAGUAAGAGGCCGCAUGUCAGGAAAAAAAUUGGGGUUGUAUAUAGGUUGGGAAGAGGAAGGAAAGGGCAGGGAAGCGUCGGGAAAGUGCGGUGAAGACCCGCGAGCGACGAUGGUACCACAAUCGCCGCCCCAGGCUGGGGCCUUGACGGCGCUGCUUCUUCCUCUGGGCACCUCUGUUGCCUGGCUCCUAACUCCUCCCGUGCUCCAGAAGUCUUAGCCCGACACAGCCCGUGAGAUCUGUUGCCCCUUUUCUAAUUAAAGAAUGCUAAUUAGAGAGUGUGAGAGAUGCAAAGGCGGAUGGGGCACCCCUUGUCUCGUCUAUUUUUACAUUAGCAUAAUUUAUGUAAUAUACAAUCGAGUGUUGUAAUGGUUCCUUAACACAUGGAUAAUGAUAUAUGAUCAAGUCGUAUUUCUAAUGCAAACAGAUUGCCAGGCUAACGAAGUUAGCCAUACUUUGAAGUUGCUAUUCGCCGGACAUUCAAGUUAGGCUAUGGGGUGUAGAGCAUACCAUUAACAAAUAUACAGAGGACAAGAAAGUAAGAAAGACAACAAAUCAAAAUUAAUAUACUAAAAAGUGAAGAUAAAUUUUUGCAGUUUACAACAUGGUGAAGUUGUUCUUUUGUUAAGCGGUGGACAAAACAAGAACUCUAAGCCUGCAGGUCAAAACACAUUCUUGGGUUUGGGUCAAGAUUAGUUUGUUGUUGUAUUGUUCCUUGUUUAGCGGAGCAUCCAACUCAUGAUCUUCAAUUGCAGUCGAAGCUUCAAUUAUGAGAUAAUACAAACUUGUUCAAGUUUAAAAAUAUAUGAUAUAACCUUGUUGAAGGAAAAUCGAGUUUGGAAAUUAUUUUCAAUAAAAACGCGAUUCCUUGUACGUUUGUCCUUCAUACAAGUAUGGAUACAGAAAAAAAAUGUCUUUUCUUGGUAUAAAGUAAAUUAUAUCUCCUUCUCGUAUGUUAUUCUCAGCGUUCUCCAGAAAUAAUGGGAUUUUUAUAUUGCUUGUCGACUUCACAAAUUACUGAACAAUAUCCGGUUUCAAGAAAAGCUUCAUCGCCAGUCAUAUUAUUGAACUGGUUGCAGACAUGGCAGGGCAGAGUCUGUAGUAUAGAUCCAACUUAUCGACAAUCUGACAAAUAAAGACUAAUUGUCUGAGUGCAAAUUAUUUCAUAUUGAACUUACUACACAUAUUGUUCGAAAGAAUCUUUUUGCGUCUCAACAAUCUAGAAGCUCUUUAGAAUGUCUCUAAUAUGCAUAGCCCAUUUAAUAAAAGUUCUAAUAUGCUUUUAAAGAAGUGGGCCAAGUAUUAUUAGAGACAAGCCAAAAAACUUUUGGACUAUUGAGAUGCAAAAUGAUUCGUUCGAACACUAUGUAUUAUUAAUUAAAUUUGCAAUAAUUAGUUUUCAGAAAUUCGUUAUAGUUAUUAUUUAUUAGAUUGUUGGUAAGUUAGUUUCUUUUCUGCACAGUGUGCGCUGCCGUGCCUGCAGCCAAUUCAACAACAUGAUUAGUGAUGGAAUUGCUCUUGAAGCCAGAGACUUUGUUCGGUACUUUGUGGAAGUCGAUAGACAACAUAAAAUUUCCCUUAUUAAUGGAAAACACUAAGAAGACUAUGUUGCUUAGUACAACAUACAAGAAGUGGAUGUGAUUUACUUUAUGCCAAGACAAGAUAGUUUUAAUAUUUGUGUCCAUACUUGUUGUAUUAAGGACAACCAGAAGGAAUCAUGUUGUUACUGCAGGUAAUUUCUUCUAAACUCUUCCUUUUUUAACUUGAUCAUGUUUUUGUUAUGUUACGGCUUUUGCUUCGAUUCCUGUUGAAGAGCAUGAUUUGGGUGUCUUGCUGAACAAUGUACAUUACAACAACAUGCUAGUCCUGACCCACACCUAAAAAUGUGUUUUUAUUCGGUAGCUUAGAGCUUAUUGGAAGGGUUGCAUUGCUUCUUUUGUCAAUCGAAUCACAAAUAGUGACUUCAUCGUGCUUGUAUGUAAUAAAACUUAUCUUUCGGAUUUUUAUUAUAAUUAUUUUGACUUACGUAUUUCUCACUUUCUUGUUCCUUGGUGUGUUUGUUAGUGAUAUGCUCUUCAAGCCAUAGUAAUUUCUCUGCAAAUUGUCCGACCCCUGUUUUGUUUUUCUUAUAUCUGAACCUAAUCUUAUAGGAAGAAAAGAUGCUAUAGAAGAAAAAGAUGUAUCUUACGUUUGUGUUUUUAGAUCUGAACCCAAUAUCCAUUCCCGAACUUUGUGGUUUGUGCUUAUACAUGUGUAUACCCUUCUUGAUAUAUUUCAAUGUUUUGUGUAGAAUGUGAAUGCUGAAAGUCAAUAUCUUCAUAAUUUGCACCUUAUCUUAUUUCUCCAAUGCUUGUUUAUUGCAGCCGCGGACAAUUUUACCAGCAGUUGGGGUGCUCCAGGUUGUUGCUCGCUGUCUUGUACACAGAGUGAACAACCCGGGCUUUGUCUGUCAUUUCCUUACCCCCACUACUCCUGAUUCCCCAGCCAUUCAACUCCAACUUGGCUGCACGUUGUGAGGGUGACUCAGCGGGGCGAUCCAAAACGAAUUUGUCCGUUCGGGUGAUGAACCGGACACACCAGAGGUUCGUGUCCGGCCUAUGUCCAUUUGGGUCCGUGUGUGAGCCUAGCGGUGCAACCCAUUUAAAUUUAGAACUAGCUAAAUUUCAUUGGUAAUAAACUUCGGGGACUACAUUUAAAUUUAAAAGAACAAAAUAAAAUACUAAACUGUGGGGCCAGGGAGUGGAAAGGUUUGACUCAGCCGGACGUGUGCGGACGCGGUGCUUGUCCGUGUGGACGCAAACCCAGCCCAGAUUUGGGUCCGGAAUGGAUCCAGAUGGACAUUGGACAAAACAACGGAUGUGGGCGAAAAUGGACGCCGCGUUGCCGUGUGGACAGAAAUGGUGUCGGCCGCGCUAAAGUCGCCCUCAGCAUUUGUUCCCCAAGUCAACAGCUAAAACCGAGGAAUCGUUUGGUUCAUGCUCAUUUGGGAGGUCUUAUUCUUGAUUGGAAUAUAGGAGUUUGUAAGCUAUACUGGAAAGUGCAUUCAAAUUUUUAUUUCUAUGUUGAAGUUUUACUCACAUUAGAUGCUUGCUGACAUUUGCAAUCCUCCUUUCGCUAACAAGCUGUGACAUUAUUCUUGGUGAUUCCAUUUAAGAGUGCUCUUAUUUAACAUUAUUUGGAAAGCUUUAUAUCUGAGCUGAUUCAACUUUAGAUUAGGCCCAGACAACUGGUUCUGCUGACUAUCUUCUUUUGUUUGUGUUCGCUAAUUCCAUAUUUGGCUGCAAUGACAUUCAUGAUCCACUUAACUUAGUUUGAGCAGAGUUUUGAUUUGAAAUCCUCAUUAAUCAAUAGGGAUAGCUUCUCAUCCAGUGCAAUCACAAAUGAGGCAUGUCACACCAAAAUUUAUUGUUUCCAACUUGAUGGGGUGGAUUACAGUCAAGAAGUACACUUAAUAUCCAUUCCAUGACCUUUAGUAUAGUCCUUGCCUGUUCAGAACUCCCAUGACAGUGACUUUUAUAUAUUUUUCAAUGCUUGAAAACUUUUGAGUAAUCGUAUUCAUCAUAGAAGCGUGGCUGUAUGUAUUACUUUAUGCACUUUAUUAACCUCAAGUUGUUGCUCCCUGUUUUCUUGCUUUCUCUUGUCUUGGUUUAAUUUUGAAAUGCAGAUCGUCGUAUGCUGGAGGGUAUUCAAGUGGACAUACAUAUAUGGUUGUUAGCAUGCACAUGUCAAAAGACGGUUCUUCGAAUAUCUGCAGGGUCAGUAGUCUUACCAUCAUCCGUAUCAUAUAAGCUGAAGUUGCUUGUCCGAUUUCUGCUUUGUGCAUGUGUAUCUAGAUGAGGAGGAAUUGGGUUUGGAGCGACUUCAUUUAUGUGCAGAGAAAGCACUUUAAAUGUCCAUUUGCACUGACAGUGUGACCCAAAUUUUCACUCUUUAACAAUUUUCGACCGGAUGCAAUCUUGCAAACCUUUUCCUUUUUCAAGAGAGAGUAGCAGUGCAGCACCUGCUUGCCUGCAUUCUAGGCUCUAGCAAGUGAGCGAGGGGGAGCUAGAGCAUCUGCGUGACUGCGUCGGCCGUCUCCAAGUUUGACGCACGUGGUCCAUAUCAACCCAAACCAACCUCCAUCGUCAUCCGACAAAUCAAGCAAAGCAAGCAAGCGGCUGUAAUUAAACCGCACGUGCAGGAGUGAAACUUCUGAGUGAGUUCGUCCGGCCAAGGACAAGCCGCCGACAACGAAGCAUACAUUUUCUCCAUGGACGUUCGGGAGGAUCAGUGGCGGAGCUAGGAUUUUUGCUCAGGGCUCAUCCAGGUUUAAAGUUAGGCUUGAAAGGUUCAAAAGAAGAAGAUUGGAAUCCUGGGACACUAAUCAUGCCCUGCUCCGUCGCGCUACAGCAAGGCGCUAGCGGCUGCUGCUCCUGGCCCAUGAGCCGCCUAUAGGUUUGGCCAGAUUGGGGAGAUUUGGAGUCGACGUCGGGAUUCAGGAAGACGUAUAAGAAGUCGAGGUGUUGUCCUAUCGCUCGGGAAAACAAGGAAGGCGUCCCGUGCGCUGCGCCCCAAAUGCCUAGCACAUCCUAACAGAAGAGACAAGUGUUGUUGGCUUUCUUAUUUUUCGUAUUAACAAUAACACGGGAGGAUUCAGAACUCAAAUCUGUCAGCACAUAGUUGGAGUACAUAAUUCUUGUCAAAAUAUUACAUGUAUCUAGAUUUUUUUAGGAAAGAAUUAUUGGACAGAUUAGUAUUUUUCUACCGCCGAAGAGCGUCCAUCA